GACGAACGCUGGCGGCGUGCCUAAUACAUGCAAGUAGAACGCUGAAGAGAGGAGCUUGCUCUUCUUGGAUGAGUUGCGAACGGGUGAGUAACGCGUAGGUAACCUGCCUUGUAGCGGGGGAUAACUAUUGGAAACGAUAGCUAAUACCGCAUAACAAUGGAUGACACAUGUCAUUUAUUUGAAAGGGGCAAUUGCUCCACUACAAGAUGGACCUGCGUUGUAUUAGCUAGUAGGUGAGGUAACGGCUCACCUAGGCGACGAUACAUAGCCGACCUGAGAGGGUGAUCGGCCACACUGGGACUGAGACACGGCCCAGACUCCUACGGGAGGCAGCAGUAGGGAAUCUUCGGCAAUGGGGGCAACCCUGACCGAGCAACGCCGCGUGAGUGAAGAAGGUUUUCGGAUCGUAAAGCUCUGUUGUAAGUCAAGAACGAGUGUGAGAGUGGAAAGUUCACACUGCGACGGUAGCUUACCAGAAAGGGACGGCUAACUACGUGCCAGCAGCCGCGGUAAUACGUAGGUCCCGAGCGUUGUCCGGAUUUAUUGGGCGUAAAGCGAGCGCAGGCGGUUUGAUAAGUCUGAAGUUAAAGGCUGUGGCUCAACCAUAGUUCGCUUUGGAAACUGUCAAACUUGAGUGCAGAAGGGGAGAGUGGAAUUCCAUGUGUAGCGGUGAAAUGCGUAGAUAUAUGGAGGAACACCGGUGGCGAAAGCGGCUCUCUGGUCUGUAACUGACGCUGAGGCUCGAAAGCGUGGGGAGCGAACAGG
rnacentral:rRNA from 1 species